CUCGAGUCCGGUAGCGCAGACAUGGAAGAAGGAAAAAGAAGACGCAGGGGCACCGAGUGCUGCCUUCUGGGAAGAUAUCAAAAACAUUCUACAGAAAACUUCAGAAGGCUUUGCCAAAGGGGUUCUCCUCCAGCUGGGCCAGUGGAUGGUGGGGAAGGAAGUCACCGUGGGGAAGGGGCCCUGGUGCAGCACGGUCAUCUACAAAGGCUGAAGCCUCUUUAGUAGGAACCGCACUUUUCAAGCCACCACUGGGUGUGGCCCAGAGGAAGCCUCUGAGGACUUAGCCUCCAGCACAGCAGCAUCAGCCACUCAGCCUGGGGAAAGUGGGAUGGCAACAAGGCCAGGUAAGUCACCACGGGUUCCCGACUUGGAAAAGACUUGUGUAGAAGUGGUCCCCAUUGCGUCUGGGUCAGCCACGCAGGAGUGAGACGGCAGCUCAUGGGUAAGGUGAGGCAGUGCUGAAGUCUGGAGCAUCGAGCACCACAGAGAAGACUGUGUCCCCUUGUCCACGUCCUCAGUCUCGUCUGCUUCCACGGUGCCACUUACUCUGCUGUGGUACAGAACCUCGUGUGACGAGUGCUGUCCUUUUGUGUCCUGCCACCCUGACUGUCUUGUAAAAAUGACCUUUUACUUA
rnacentral:lncRNA from 1 species